UGUACUAAACUUAGACCAUUAGUUAGCGCAGGCUCCUUAACAUGGAGCCAUUCCCCUAAGCCUAGGUCAGGAUAGCCUAGGCUCUUUUUU
rfam:Vibrio sp. JCM 19236 DNA, contig00014.